rnacentral:rRNA from 1 species
UACGGGGGGGGCAAGCGUUGUUCGGAAUUACUGGGCGUAAAGGGCUCGUAGGCGGCCAACUAAGUCAGACGUGAAAUCCCUCGGCUUAACCGGGGAACUGCGUCUGAUACUGGAUGGCUUGAGUUUGGGAGAGGGAUGCGGAAUUCCAGGUGUAGCGGUGAAAUGCGUAGAUAUCUGGAGGAACACCGGUGGCGAAGGCGGCAUCCUUGACCAACACUGACGCUGAGUGAGCGAAAGCCAGGGGAGCAAACGGG